GUGUUCUAACGCAGUUAAAAUUUUAACACAAUAGUAAUUAUUUGACCAUUAAUUUGUUUAAGAAAUCGCCACUGGCAGAGAUGCAGAUCGUGACAAGGCGACCCCCCAAAAAAUCUCUAGCGACCCACCUGAGGGUUGCGACCCAGUCUUUGGGAAACACUGAUCUAGAUGACUUGCUUGUGUUCGCAUCUACGGAGACGGAGGCCAUGGGGAGGCUGGAGGUCGUUUUUCAGCGACUGAGGCUCCACAAUCCCAAAUUACGACCAAAGAAAUGCCACCUAAUGUGACCACGCUCUCCUCAGUCUGAAGAGGAAUUUGUUGGAUUGUGUAGUCCUUGCCCAUCCUGACUUCACACGUCCUCUGAUCUUGUCAAUUGAUGCUUCUCUAGACGGACUUGGUGCCGUACUAUCACAGAUACCAGCAGGUGAAGAGACGGCAAGGCCCAUUGCUUUUGCAAGCAAGACAAUGAGCAAGUCCCAGGAGAGGUACCCUGCACACAGACUCAAGUUUUUGGCUUUAAAAUGUGUGUAAGAAAUUCAGCCAUUGGCUUAAAGGGCACCCUUUUACCGUGUGGACAGAUAACAACCCACUCACGUAUAUUAUGACAAAGCCCAAACUUGAUGCAUGUGAGCAGUGUUGGGUCUCGAAGCUGGCCCCUUACACAUUCGACCUGAAGCACAUUGCGGGGAAGAAGAACAUAGUAGCUGAUGCACUCAGCCAAGAACCAUUGGCCACAGACUCAUUACUGAGCGCUACGACAAGUUGCUCACUGAAGCUGAGAGCGUGGGCGAGGACGGAGUUCAGGACACUUUCCGUCUGAAAGUUCAGUGUCAUGUGGCGGAGAAACCAACUCUUGGGACUCAACCUGAUCCCCUCUCUAUGUCAUAUUGGCCAAGACACCAGAGCCAUCUGCCAGGGCCCCACUUGAAAGUAUCAGGACAUCUGCUCCUAUGGAGUUAGUCUGCUCGGAUUUCUGGAGUGCAGAGGACAACCGAGAGGGGAACCGAGAGGUUCAACAGAACGCUUGGAAGUAUGCUGCGGUUGUUGCCACUCAGAGAAAAACACAAGUGGGUUGAGCAAAUACAAACCUUAACAUUUGCAUACAAUGCAACAGUACAUGAGACAACUGGAUAUGCACCAUUUUACCUGAUGUUUGGUCGCAUUCCAAGACUACCGGUUGGUGUAAUGUUCAAGCAGGUGCUGCAGGACCCAGUAGUUGUGGAUCAUGGCACCUACGUGAAAACACUGGUGUCCCAUCUUCAUGAAGCAGCGAACAUCGCUCAGCAGCGCACCAUCAAAGAACAAGCUAAGCAAUCCCAAGGUUACAACAAAAAGGCCAAGGGCACUCACCUGAACAGGGGUGACAGAGUGCUUGUCGCUAACAAAGGCGAGAGAGGCAAGAGGAAGUUAGCGGACAAGUGGGAAGCAACAGUCUACACAAUCGUGGACAGGGAUCCACGUACACAUGUAUACAAACUGGAAGAUGACAAAGGAAACACCAAAGUUUUACAUCGUAACCUCAUCCUUGAUAUCAGCUUCCUACCGGUUGAGUCGCCUGAGGAUGUGGAAAGGAGGGUCUCUCUCCAAUGUCAUGGAUUCGGAGAGUGAGGGUGACAUAGUGGAUCUCAUGGAUUCCUUGGAGGAUUCGGAGGAUAGGAUAAAUAGGUGGAUGCUAGGUGGGUCAGGAGAAACCGUCAGUCAAGAGUCUUUGGAUGGAGAAGCUACAGAGCCAGAUCAGUCAAGGCUUACCGGAGUCCAGCUAUCAAGAGCGACUGAGGCUUGAUCACCCUUAGUUUUCUCUUAAUCAGUUUUUUUUUCAGAUGGGCAGUAGCUUGUAUGUAAAGACAAUUUUCUUUAUGUAAUCCCCGGUCCAGUUUUGAGUGUGUCAAUCGUCCCUGUUUUUGUUUGUUUGUUUGUUUUUUUUAUCCUGUGGGUGUUUGGAAAGGCUUUUAGUGAAAUUCAGGAGGAAUAAUCAUUUGUUUUUCACACAAAAUCCCUCUCCAUUUUAUUGCCAUUAUUGUACUGCUGUUUGUUUUAUUUAAUUAUACGUUUUGAUUUACUUUAAAGAGCUUCAUAGAAUGUAUUUUGGCGUUCUGUCGACGACGUCAUCGGUGUGCUUGGUGAGAUCUUGUCUGUGCGGAGACUUUCUGAGCUAGCUGCGUUGGAGAAGCCUGCUCAUUGUGCCACAUUUUGUAUUUCUGUCCAGACUUUUUGAGAGUACAAAUUAACUCUCACACCGCCAGAGAAGUUGUCUGUGCAAUCAUUCACAACGCAAGUGUCAGACAGUAAAGGCGGGCUACACCAGCAACGACACGUGACGCUAAAAGAAUGUGGACUUCACUACGGGAACACACCAGACUGCCUUACCGCUUCUGUGUUCUCCUGCCACGCCACAACUCUG